GACGGGUGAGUAACACGUGGGCAACCUGCCUAUAAGACUGGGAUAACUUCGGGAAACCGGAGCUAAUACCGGAUACGUUCUUUUCUCGCAUGAGAGAAGAUGGAAAGACGGUUUACGCUGUCACUUAUAGAUGGGCCCGCGGCGCAUUAGCUAGUUGGUGAGGUAAUGGCUCACCAAGGCGACGAUGCGUASCCGACCUGAGAGGGUGAUCGGCCACACUGGGACUGAGACACGGCCCANAYUCYUAUUKGAGGCAGCAGUAGGGAAUCUUCCGCAAUGGACGAAAGUCUGACGGAGCAACGCCGCGUGAACRANGAAAGCCUUCRGGUCGUAAUAGUUCUGUUGUUAGGGAA
rnacentral:rRNA from 1 species